AGUGAACGCUGGCGGUAGGCCUAACACAUGCAAGUCGAACGGCAGCACAGUAAUAGCUUGCUCUUACGGUGGGCGAGUGGCGGACGAGUGGGGAAUACAUCGGAAUCUACUUUUUCGUGGGGGAUAACGUAUGGAAACUUACGCUAAUACCGCAUACGACCUACGGGUGAAAUCAGGGGAUCUUCUUACCUUGCGCGUUUGAAUGAGCCGAUGUCGGUUUAGCUAGUUGGCGGGGUAAAGGCCCACCAAGGCGACGAUCCGUAGCUGGUGUGAGAGGAUGAUCAGCCACACUGGAACGGAGACAAGGUCCAGACUCCUACGGGAGGCAGAAGUGGGGAAUAUUGGACAAUGGGCGCAAGCCUGAUCCAGCCAUACCGCGUGGGUGACGAAGGCGUUCGGGUUGUAAAGCCCUUUUGUUGGGAAAGAACAGCAGCAGGUUAAUACGCCGCUGUUGUGACGGUACCCAAAGAAUAAGCACCGGCUAACUUCGUG
rnacentral:rRNA from 1 species